rnacentral:rRNA from 1 species
AAUCUUGCGCAAUGGGCGACAGCCUGACGUAGUCAUGCCGCGUGAAUGAAUAAGGUCUUAGGUUUGUAAAAUUCUUUCACCGGGGACGAUAAUGACGGUACCCGGAGAAGAAGCAACUGCUUACUUCGAGCGAGCAGCCGCGGUAAUACGAAGGUGGCUAGCGUUGCUCGGAAUUACUGGGCGUAAAGGGCGCGUAGGCGGAUCGUUAAGUCAGGGGUGAAAUCCCGGGGCUCAACCUCGGAACUGCCCUUGAUACUGGCGAUCUUGAGUAUGAGAGAGGUAUGUGGAACUCCGAGUGUAGAGGUGAAAUUCGUAGAUAUUCGGAAGAACACCAGUGUCGAAGGCGACAUACUGGCUCAUUACUGACGCUGAGGCGCGAAAGCGUGGGGAGCAAACAG